ACGGGGAGCAGCAGGCGCGAAACCUUUACACUGCACGACAGUGCGAUAAGGGAAUCCCAAGUGCGCAGGCAUAGAGCCUGCGCUUUUGUACACCGUAGGGAGGUGUACGAAUAAGGGCUGGGCAAGACCGGUGCCAGCCGCCGCGGUAAUACCGGCAGCCCGAGUGAUGGCCGAUCUUAUUGGGCCUAAAGCGUCCGUAGCUGGCCGCACAAGUCCAUCGGAAAAUCCACCCGCUCAACGGGUGGGCGUCCGGUGGAAACUGUGCGGCUUGGGACCGGAGGGCGCGACGGGUACGUCCGGGGUAGGAGUGAAAUCCCGUAAUCCUGGACGGACCGCCGAUGGCGAAAGCACGUCGCGAGGACGGAUUCGACAGUGAGGGACGAAAGCCAGGGUCUCGAACCGGAUUAGAUACCCGGGUAGUCCUGGCCGUAAACAAUGUCUGUUAGGUGUGGCUCCCACUACGAGUGGGUGCUGUGCCGUAGGGAAGCCGCUAAACAGACCGCCUGGGAAGUACGUCCGCAAGGAUGAAACUCAAAUGAAUUGACGG
rnacentral:rRNA from 1 species